UACAGAGGGUGCAAGCGUUGUUCGGAAUCACUGGGCGUAAAGCGCGUGUAGGCGGUGGAGUGUGUCCUGUGUGAAAUCCCUCGGCUUAACUGAGGAAGGGCAUGGGAAACUACUUCACUGGAGUGCGAAAGAGGGGGGCGGAAUUCCUAGUGUAGAAGUGAAAUUCGUAGAUACUAGGAGGAACACCGGAGGCGAAGGCGGCCACCUGGGUCGUAACUGACGCUGAUACGCGAAAGCGUGGGGAGCAAACAGG
rnacentral:rRNA from 1 species